GGAAGGUUUUCUCUGAAAGAAAGAAUUUCCCCCUGCACAGCUGAUGUCUAAGAGAGACUGUGUCCUGAUGACAAGAUUCAGAAAGGUUGUGUAAAUUAUACUGCCCGAAGUUUCCAAGAUGGCAUCACCUGGAAGAGAGAAAAAAAAAUUAAUGUCACUGAACAGAGGAGGAGAUGCCAAUUUCUAUGUGAAUGAAGAGGAGAACAGAGAGAGCUUUGUGGCUGAAACUCAGUUAACUAGAAACCUCGGGAACUGCAAAUUUUACGUGACCGCGGUUCAGUGGAACGGAGUCUUGCGCUGAUAACUCAGAGAUAAAUGACUAGAUCCUGGUUUGGUAGCUGGUGCUAGAAAACAUGACCCUCUUCAUGGAUCGAUGCUAUACAGACUCUGAUUGCCCUGGAGGAGGCCAUAUCCCUCACUAGCUUGUACUGUGCUGGAAUUGAACUAACUGACAAGGCUGAUAGUGGGAGGGAAAGCAUGCUGUUUGUGCAUUGUUGUUGUUCCUACUUAUCUGUUAAACAAAAGUGUGCUUUUAAAAUAUUUUCCUUGUCUGAAGUCGAGUUUGUUCCAAGCAUGAGAAAAUGGUGAGCCUUUUUAUGUGCUAUUGUCAAAUGUCUGAAUUUUUUAGAUUUUGUAGUAUUGAUUUAGCAAAAUCCCUUGAUAGCUGAGUUUUAUCUCUUCCCGAUGACAUUCUGUCUUUCUCUUUUCUACUCAAAGAAAUGGCAGGUGUAUUAUAUACAGUAUCAUCAAUUUAUACUUCACGGCCAUUUAUCAGCUCCUGCUUUUCCUCAAAUUCUCUAUUUAUUUAUGCACUUAAAGACCAUGUUGUUCAGCCAUUUCUUCUCGGUGAAAUGCAAAGAUGUGGUUUAAAGCAGGCUAUAGCUGAAACAUGGCUUUCAUCAAACAGUAACAUCUUUGUCAAACUUCAACAGAAUUAACCUUAACUGCCAAGGAAGUCUUGACUUCCAUCAUAAAAAUGUUUGAUUAGUGUUAAUAAUUUAUUAAAUUGGUUUGUCCUGACAUUGCCAACAUGCUGGAAAUCUCUCAACCAUUAAAACAUUAACAGAGGCUGUCAUACAAUGCUUCCCCUGUUCUGUGUUGUAUUUCAGAACCACAUUCUUCUGAGGCUGGUUCUGUGGUGUUCCAAUGUGCACUCAUUAGGACUGCAUUAAAAGAUGAAAUAUAGUGAAUAUUAAAAAUGUGGCAAUAGGAAGCAGAGCAUGCUGAGCGUACCUCCACAGACAGCUUGGCUGGGAUUAAACCAGGCAACAGCAAACCUUUUGUCAAAAUAUUGGGAAAUACAAUUGUUAGCUGCGUAUCUUUAGGAGAAGGAUCCCCUCUGUUGGAUUACUGGUGUAUUUUAGAAAUUUGGGUGAGACAUUAUUAGAACUACAUUGAGUAGUGAAAGUGAUAGUUGAACUGUUUAUGUUGAGGCAUUUCACUAAAUUGUAUCCUCAGCAGAAUUCCAUUCAAUAAAUGCACUCAGACCUUGAGAAUGGGUUCCCCAACUUUUAGUUUGAUCAGUUACAACCACAGUUAAAUUUCCAAAGGUUGGAGCCUAAAUUGUAGUAGCAACAUCUGUUUUACCUCAUGCAAAAUAGAAUUGUGUGUGUUAUCAUUAUUUGUUGAUAAAGCCCUCUGAGUGUGCAGAAAACUUUUUUAUAAACACAUGGAAGACAAAUAGCUAAAUCUAUCCAUUGUUUGCUUCUAUUACCUUCAGUGGAGCUACACUAAGAAUGAAUUUGCCCCAAGGACUUAGUCCCAAGGAAUUUAUCAUUUUCUUUAGACAUACCAGUAUAUGGGACACAAGGUGCAGAGUCACAUUGGAAGGCUGUGUUGAAAAAAAUACAUAAGUGUUCACUUAUGCAAGCUAAACCUGUCUUUGUGAGCACACACUUUGUGGACUUGCAUUUAGGUGCCAACCUUGAAAAUUUGGCCCAAGGUUUUUUAAUGUGGGAAGAUGUUCUCUUCAAAAGAAAUUCAGAGCAGCUGUGGUUUAUUCAGUGCCCCGUGAUACCCAGUGUGAUGGUUGUAUUAGAACAAGAAGCAUAUGUCUAUUUUUUAUUAUUUUUUUUUGGUUAAUAAAUAAACUGACUUUGGCAAACAUGUCCUAAACUCUUAUCUAUUUUUGAACUCAUGACCCUUAAAGCAUGACCCUUUCAUUAGUGUCUGGGUCUUGCUGUUCCCAAUCUACAUCAACGCUAUGAAUCAAAGUCUGUGCUCAGUUACAGUAAUAUAAAUCUACAGUAUCUGAACUGAAUUCAGUGGAGUUACUCUGGAUUUACAAUAAUGUUAACUGAUGGUAGAAUUUAGACCCGUUUUUCCACUUCUGUCAGUGCUAACUGGCAAUUCAGGGAAUACAUGCUUUGUACUGUGAACUUCAACAGAAGUGUCCCAUGAUAUCAAAAUAUAAAUCAAGCUGCUGAAUUCUCUGAAAUUUAGCAAUAUGUACUGUUAGCACUGAGCUAAGUGGAUUUUGUAAAGGGGAACAAUUUUAUAAUAAGAUGGCCAAAAUUGCAUAGGAAACUAUGUAUUACAAAGGAAGAAAAAAUAACCAGUUAUUCCAACAUCAGAAAUUCAUAGUCCUUCAAUCUGAUACAUUCUGACAGAUAUGUCAGUUACAUGACUGUUCAGGGAACAGAUUUUAAAUAAAUCCACAUACAUCUUAAAACAUUGACUCUGGAAGUGAUGAAAAUAGAAUCACUUCUGCUCUUCAAUAUCAAUGUUCACAGCUUUAAUGAUUUCUUAAAUGGUUGCUGUGAUAAUAUUAAAAAGUGUUAAACAUUCUGAAAUUUAAAAAGAGUCCUGCAUUCAUAAUGUUUAACACUUUUUAAUAUUAUCACAGCAAGGUUUUUUAAUGCCCAAGAUUAAAAGCAGACCAGUUGCCAGCUGAUGCCAAGGGCCCAAUGUCUGAUACUGGCAUAUCCAGAGCUGAAAUUGGUCUAGCUCACCUGUGUGUUAGUAUUGUUAAAAUAGAUAUUAGAAUUAUAAGAAUGUGUUUAGUGUUUAGACUUUAUGUAAUGCUUGUAAAUUGCUGCAUACAUUAAUCUCACUUAUAACAUCUGUAUACCAUAUUAUAGGGUAAUAUCUGAGUAUUUGCAUUAUAAACCUCUGUAACUGUGUAAAUCACCAGACUGGAGAGAAACAAUAACUAAUACAGAUCUCCAACAGAAGGUGCUAUGUCCUGGCCAACAAGGAUAAACACCAGACAGAGUAGAGUGCGAUAUUAAAGAGGAUAAAAUACCUUUUUGUUUAUUCUGUCUCCUUUCCUCCCCUGGAAGAUGAAUAUUGCAAGUUAAUUCUUCCCAUCAGUUGACUCAAAGCAAAAAAGGGGAAAGGGAAUAAAAACCCGGAACAAAGAGGAACUGUAUCUUUAUGCUGCUUAGACUCGGGAGGACAAGAAUUACUAGGCAUAAGUGUAAGAUCCCAGUGCUUAGCCUGCGUUAACCCUAAAUGACAUACAGAUCUUGCUUAUCACAGAAGCCUCUUUUACUUUGGAAAAUUAAGACUGUAACUCAUUUGUGUAUAUAUGUUUACAUGCUUUAACCUUGUAAAUAUUUCUCGCUUUCUUUUCCUAUUAAUAAAUCGGUAUAUAGUUUAUUA